GACUGUAGUGUCCGCGGCAGAACAGCCGGGAGAAGUUUGCAGGGAGGUGGCACCAAACUACCCUGGCUGCACUGAGUCAGUGCAGGGGAGGACAGACGGACGGACGGACGCCGGGGCUGUGGCCACCCAGGGACACCCGUGGGGUGAGCGCCAGCUGCGGAGCAUCCUGUCCCCUCUGCGCCCAGCCAUGUCCCUGGUGGUGAAGGAGAAGAACCACGUGCGGUUGGUCUUCUUGGGUGCUGCCGGCGUGGGAAAAACGGCCCUCAUCCACCGCUUCCUGAUGGACACCUUCGAGCCCAAGCACCGGCGCACAGUGGAGGAGCUACACAGCAAGGAGUACGAGGUGAGCGGGGCCAGGGUCAAGGUGGAAAUCUUGGACACCAGUGGCAGCUACUCCUUCCCGGCCAUGAGGAAACUCUCAAUCCAGAACAGCGAUGCCUUCGCCCUGGUCUAUGCUGUAGAUGACGCCGAGUCCUUUGAGAGCAUCAAGAGCUUGCGGGAGGAGAUCCUGGAGGUGAAGGAAGACAAGUUCCCUCCCAUCGUGGUGGUCGGCAACAAGGCAGAGAGCGGCGGCGAGCGGCAGGUGCCAGUGGAGGAUGCUCUGUCACUGGUGGAGCUGGACUGGAACAGCCGCUUUGUGGAGACAUCAGCCAAGGACAACGAGAAUGUCCUGGAGGUCUUCAGGCAGCUGCUGCAGCAAGCCAACCUGCCCAGCCGGCUCAGCCCAGCGCUCUGCAAGAGGAGGGAGACGUUGCCCAAGGAGCAGGCGCUGAGGCCUCCCAUGAACAAGACCAACAGCUGCUCCGUGUGCUGAGCCGGCCGCCCGCGGCCAGGAGGGAGGUGUCGGCAGCAGCGGCACCGGCUGGAAACUCAGGUGGGCUGGGUGGGGAGAGGCACUGCCUUGGCCAAAACCAACCCUGCCACCUCCCACCCCUUCCUUCCUCUCCCCCACCCAGCCUGCCGGGACCGGUGAGAGUUGGAGAUGACAAGGAGGAGGGACUUGGAAGGGAUACUGGUUGCUGGAAGGGUGCGGGGAAGAGGGCGAGUUCCCAGAAAGGCAGGAGGUGUACCUGGGAAACUGCCGUCUGUCGCCAGCCCACUGCCUGUGCCACGGUCAGC